UACGAAGGGGGCUAGCGUUGCUCGGAAUGACUGGGCGUAAAGGGCGCGUAGGCGGCUUGGCAAGUCAGGCGUGAAAUUCCUGGGCUCAACCUGGGGGCUGCGCUUGAGACUGCUGGGCUUGAGGAUGGAAGAGGCUCGUGGAAUUCCCAGUGUAGAGGUGAAAUUCGUAGAUAUUAGGAAGAACACCAGUGGCGAAGGCGGCUCACUGGUCCGGUACUGACGCUGAGACGCGAAAGCGUGGGGAGCGAACAGG
rnacentral:rRNA from 1 species